rnacentral:rRNA from 1 species
CCUACGGGAGGCAGCAGUGGGGAAUAUUGGACAAUGGGGGCAACCCUGAUCCAGCGAUGCCGCGUGGGUGAAGAAGGCCUUCGGGUUGUAAAGCCCUUUAGGUUGGGAAGAAGUUGUGUAGGUUAAUAACCUACAUGAUUGACGGUACCGACAGAAUAAGCACCGGCAAACUCUGUGCCAGCAGCCGCGGUAAUACAGAGGGUGCAAGCGUUAAUCGGAGUUACUGGGCGUAAAGGGCGCGUAGGCGGUCAGAUGAGUGUGAUGUGAAAGCCCUGGGCUUAACCUAGGAAGUGCAUCGCAAACUAUUUGGCUGGAGUAUAUGAGAGGGUGGCGGAAUUUCCGGUGUAGCGGUGAAAUGCGUAGAGAUCGGAAGGAACGUCAAUGGCGAAGGCAGCCACCUGGCAUAAUACUGACGCUGAGGCGCGAAAGCGUGGGGAGCGAACAGGAUUAGAUACCCUUGUAGUC